UAAGCCUCCCAAAGAAUCUUUUCUUUCAAUGCGGCUACAUUAGGUACAUACACUUUGUUUUUCAUAACCCACAUUCCAUCAUCUCGCUCGAUUAGUUCAUUUGUCUUACCAUCUUGCACCUUCUUCUGUAACUUCUUUAAGUAUGCAUCACUACCUUGUGCAUGUUUGAUCUCAUCUAGUAUCUAGGGACUAGUCUUCAUUGUAGUCAAUAAUACCCCAUUCUUUAUUGAAAAAUGCAUAUCCAUAGCUCUUAGCGAAAUUAAGGAACUCAUCUGAUAUGAAAUCAUACCUGCAACCCUUUCCAAAGUCUUCCUACUAAGUGCAUCUGCCACAACAUUUGCUUUUCCUGGGUGAUAAUCAAUGGUACAGUCAU
rnacentral:lncRNA from 1 species